rnacentral:lncRNA from 1 species
UCACAUGCACCUGGAGAUGAUGUGUUAUAUCCGCCGAAAUGAAAACUUCAGCUUGCGACUUUUACUAACCACUUAAUUCAGUGACAAGUCCGAUCUACUCCACCGCAGACCCUUUCACCAGUACCUGAUUUCGCUUCUAUCAGAAGACCAUUAAGAGCUCAGCAACAUCGAGAUUCGUCGACUAAUCUCUCGAUUUCACCAGUACCUGAUUUCGCUUCUAUCAGAAGACCAUUAAGAGCUCAGCAACAUCGAGAUUCGUCGACUAAUCGCUCGUUUGUACGCUCUCAAGUUUAAGACUUUUCAAGCUUCGAUCUUCAUUCUUCAGCUUACCAACCAAUCUCUGGUAAAAUACUGAUAAAUUUUUUUUUUUUUUU